rnacentral:rRNA from 1 species
UCGCCCUUCGGGGUGCAGCAGGCGCGAAAACUUUACAAUGCCGGCAACGGCGAUAAGGGAACCUCGAGUGCCAGGUUACAAAUCUGGCUGUCGUGAUGCCUAAAAAGCAUUGCAUAGCAAGGGCCGGGCAAGACCGGUGCCAGCCGCCGCGGUAACACCGGCGGCUCGAGUGGUAACCGUUAUUAUUGGGUCUAAAGGGUCUGUAGCCGGCCGGGUAAGUCUCUUGGGAAAUCUGGCAGCUUAACUGUCAGGCUUUCAGGAGAUACUGCCUGGCUCGAGGCCGGGAGAGGUGAGAGGUACUUCAGGGGUAGGGGUGAAAUCUUGUAAUCCUUGAAGGACCACCAGUGGCGAAGGCGUCUCACCAGAACGGACCUGACGGCAAGGGACGAAAGCUAGGGGCACGAACCGGAUUAGAUACCCGGGUAGUCCUAGCCGUAAACGAUACUCGCUAGGUGUCGGCCACGGUGCGACCGUGGUCGGUGCCGUAGGGAAGCCGUGAAGCGAGCCACCUGGGAAGUACGGCCGCAAGGCUGAAACUUAAAGGAAUUGGCGGGGGAGCAC